rnacentral:rRNA from 1 species
UACUUAGUGGCAGACGGGUGAGUAACAUGUGGGUAUCUACCCUUUGGCCUGGAAUAACACGAGGAAACUUGUGCUAAUACCGGAUAAGUCUUUACGGAGAAAGCUUUAUGCACCAAUGGAUGAGCCCGCACUUGAUUAGUUUGUUGGUAGGGUAAUGGCCUACCAAGACUAUGAUCAAUAGCUGAUUUGAGAGGAUGAUCAGCCACAUUGGGACUGAGACACGGCCCAAACUCCUACGGGAGGCAGCAGUGGGGAAUCUUGCACAAUGGAGGAAACUCUGAUGCAGCGAUGCCGCGUGAGUGAAGAAGGCCCUUGGGUUGUAAAGCUCUUUCGUCGGGGAAGAAAAUGACUGUACCCGAAUAAGAAGGUCCGGCUAACUUCGUGCCAGCAGCCGCGGUAAUACGAAGGGACCUAGCGUAGUUCGGAAUUACUGGGCUUAAAGAGUUCGUAGGUGGUUGAAAAAGUUGGUGGUGAAAUCCCAGAGCUUAACUCUGGAACUGCCAUCAAAACUUUUCAGCUAGAGUAUGAUAGAGGAAAGC